GACGAACGCUGGCGGCGUGCUUAACACAUGCCAGUCGAACGGUGAAGCGCCUUCCUUUUUGGUGGGUGUGGAUGAGUGGCGAACGGGUGAGUAACACGUGAGUAACCUGCCCCCUUCUUCUGGAUAACCGCAUGAAAGUGUGGCUAAUACGGGAUAUUCUGGGUCUGUCGCAUGAUGGGUCUGGGAAAGAUAUUGUUUCGGUGGGGGAUGGGCUCGCGGCCUAUCAGCUUGUUGGUGGGGUGAUGGCCUACCAAGGCGGUGACGGGUAGCCGGCCUGAGAGGGUGGACGGCCACACUGGGACUGAGACACGGCCCAGACUCCUACGGGAGGCAGCAGUGGGGAAUAGUGCACAAUGGGCGCAAGCCUGAUGCAGCGACGCCGCGUGAGGGAUGGAGGCCUUCGGGUUGUGAACCUCUUUCGCCAGUGAAGCAGGCCUGCCUCGUUUGUGGGUGGGUUGACGGUAGCUGGAUAAGAAGCGCCGGCUAACUACGUG
rnacentral:rRNA from 1 species